GUGAUUUCCAGGAAGACACCUCUGUUAGUGGGUUCACUAUCUAUACCAUGCAGCCGCCAACUCUAAUAACCUGGCUGGGAGAGAAGCACAUCUAAAAAUUGUUAAUUGACUUGGUGUAUCUGGAGAAGAAAUGGAAGAAGAGUAAAAUGUGUGAAAGAAUGUAAUGAGGUUUAUAAAAUCCCUGAAGACUAACCAAGUUUAUAAUAUAAAUUAGAUUAGAAAGUCUACACUCAAUGAAGGAUUCAAUUAGACAAAAACAGCCUACAAACCAUGGAUGCAAACCUUCAAAGAAGCAAACAAAAAAUGCUACUGGGAAUGACUGAUAAUCUAAGGAAACCAUGACUUUUGAGACUUACCAAAAAAA